GGCUCUCGGCAUUUGAUAUCUCGGCUCUAGCAUCGAUGAAGAACGUAGCGAAAUGCGAUACUAGGUGCGAAUUGCAGAAUCCCGUGAACCAUUGAGUUUCUGAACGCACGUUGGGCCCAAAGCCAGUAGGUUGAGGGCAUGUGUGCCUGGGCCUC
rnacentral:rRNA from 1 species